rnacentral:rRNA from 1 species
GACGAGGGGUCCUAGCGUUGUUCGGAAUCACUGGGCGUAAAGCGUAUGUAGGCGGCCUGUUAAGUCAGUUGUGAAAUCCCACGGCUCAACCGUGGAAUUGCAAUUGAAACUGGCGGGCUUGAGUGCAGGAGAGGUUGGUAGAAUACCUAGUGUAGUGGUGAAAUACGUAGAUAUUAGGUGGAAUACCGGAGGCGAAGGCGGCCAACUGGCCUAGCACUGACGCUGAGAUACGAAAGCGUGGGGAUCAAACAGG